GACGAACGCUGGCGGCGUGCUUAACACAUGCAAGUCGAACGAGUGGCGACCGGGUGAGUAAUACGUGGGAACCUGCCCUCCUGUUUGGGAUAAACCUUGGAAACGGGGUAUAAUACCGAAUAUAGGGGGUUGGGCUCGCGGUCUAUCAGCUUGUUGGGGGGGCGGGGGCCAACCAAGGAGGUGACGGGUAGCCGGCCUGAGAGGGUGACCAGCCACAUUGAGACUGAUAUACGGUCCAGACUCCUACGGGAGGCAGCAGUGGGGAAUAUUGCACAAUGGGCGCAAGCCUGAUGCAGCCAUGCCGCGUGUAUGAAGAAGGCCUUAGGGUUGUAAAGUACUUUCAGCGGGGAGGCGUUACUCGCAGAAGAAGCACCGGCUAACUCCGUGCCAGCAGCCGCGGUAAUUC
rnacentral:rRNA from 1 species